rnacentral:misc_RNA from 1 species
ACUUUAUUGGUAUGCGAAACUUCCGGGACCCGUCUUCCGGCAACAUUUUGGGUGCGCCAUGGCGCUUUUUUUUUUCGUUUUUGUGUGUGGCGGGUGUGUGUCCUGGAGGUGGCGCCCAAGGCCGCCGCCCAUGACACGGGGUUCGGCACGCCCCAAAACGGCACCCCCCCCACAACGACCUGGGCACCCUUGGGCUUCUAACUAACGCUAUAUAAGUAUCAGUUUCUGU